rnacentral:rRNA from 1 species
UACGUAGGGAGCAAGCGUUGUUCGGAAUCACUGGGCGUAAAGGGAGAGUAGGCGGGAGAAUAAGUUAGAAGUUUAAUGUAUCGGCUUAACCGGUAAUCUGCUUCCAAUACUGUUCUUCUUGAGUAUGGGAGAGGGAGAUGGAAUUCCAGGUGUAGCGGUGGAAUGCGUAGAUAUCUGGAAGAACACCAGCUGCGAAGGCGGUCUCCUGGCCCAAUACUGACGCUGAUGCUCGAAAGCUAGGGGAG